rnacentral:rRNA from 1 species
UACGUAGGGUGCGAGCGUUGUCCGGAAUUAUUGGGCGUAAAGGGCUCGUAGGCGGUUUGUCGCGUCGGGAGUGAAAACCUUGGGCUUAACUCAGGGCUUGCUUUCGAUACGGGCAGACUAGAGGUAUGCAGGGGAGAAUGGAAUUCCCGGUGUAGCGGUGAAAUGCGCAGAUAUCGGGAGGAACACCGGUGGCGAAGGCGGUUCUCUGGGCCUGACCUGACGCUGAGGAGCGAAAGCGUGGGGAGCGAACAGG